CCGCAUACGACCUACGGGUGAAAGCAGGGGAUCUUCGGACCUUGCGCGAUUGAAUGAGCCGAUGUCGGAUUAGCUAGUUGGCGGGGUAAAGGCCCACCAAGGCGACGAUCCGUAGCUGGUCUGAGAGGAUGAUCAGCCACACUGGAACUGAGACACGGUCCAGACUCCUACGGGAGGCAGCAGUGGGGAAUAUUGGACAAUGGGCGCAAGCCUGAUCCAGCCAUACCGCGUGGGUGAAGAAGGCCUUCGGGUUGUAAAGCCCUUUUGUUGGGAAAGAAAUCCAGCCGGCUAAUACCCGGUUGGGAUGACGGUACCCAAAGAAUAAGCACCGGCUAACUUCGUGCCAGCAGCCGCGGUAAUACGAAGGGUGCAAGCGUUACUCGGAAUUACUGGGCGUAAAGCGUGCGUAGGUGGUCGUUUAAGUCCGUUGUGAAAGCCCUGGGCUCAACCUGGGAACUGCAGUGGAUACUGGGCGACUAGAGUGUGGUAGAGGGUAGCGGAAUUCCUGGUGUAGCAGUGAAAUGCGUAGAGAUCAGGAGGAACAUCCAUGGCGAAGGCAGCUACCUGGACCAACA
rnacentral:rRNA from 1 species